GGCAACUGCUUUUUCACCUCAGUCCGGCUGGCAAACCAAACGUUCUUCUUUGAACUCAGUGGCACAACGCCUGGAUACGUCGCACUGGCACUCACUAAAAAUAAAGUUACCACCGUGUUCGCCUGCGGUAAUAAUAAUUACCUUUUCUUCUUCCAAACGGCUACUCAAAAUGGCACCACUUUGACGCCUGUAUCUGUGAACACUGUAUACAAUGUUGUAGGUGUAGUAUCACAAAGCCAGACUCUCAUUCAGUGUGUCUUCAACACCAGCACCAGUUUCAACACCAGCACCAGAUCUGCUGACACCAGCUAUCAAGUCACCAUCCUGAAUGGAACCACCAACGGAAAUCAACUGGGUUCUCCAACUACAUUAUAUGACAGCAAAAAUGCAUUAGAUCUGUCUGAUCCUAAAGGCAGCAGCAGCACCAGCAGCA